rnacentral:rRNA from 1 species
UGCCUAAUACAUGCAAGUCGAACGCGUUGGCCCAUUUGAUGGAGGGUGCUUGCACCUGAUUGAUUUUGGGCGCGAACGAGUGGCGGACGGGUGAGUAACACGUAGGUAACCUGCCCAGAAGCGGGGGAGAACAUUUGGGAACAGAUGCUAAUACCGCAUGACCCCGUUGUUCGCAUGAACAACGCUGAAAAGAUGGCUUCUCGCUAUCACUUCUGGAUGGACCUGCGGUGCAUUAUGUUGUUGGUGGGGUAACGGCCUACCAAGGCGAUGAUGCAUGCCGAGUUGACAGACUGAUCGGCCACAAUGGGACUGACACACGGCCCAUACUCCUACGGGAGGCAGCACUUCGGAAUCGUCCACAAUGGGCGCAAGCCUGAUGGACCAACACCGCGUGAGUGAACAACGGUUUCGGCUCUGAAAGCUCUGUUGAUAAAAAAUAACACGUAUGAGACUAACUGUUCCUACGUUGAACGUAUUUAACCCGAAAGUCACCGCUACCUACGUGCCAGCAACCCCGGUAAUACAUACGUGGCAAGCGUUAUCCGGAUUUAUUGGGCGUAAAGAGAGUGCAGGCGGUUUUCUAAGUCUGACGUGAAAGCCUUCGGCUUAACCCGACAAAUGCAUCGGAAACUGGAUAACUUGAAUGCAAAAGAGGGUACUGGAACUCCAUGUGUAUCGGUGGAAAGCGUAGAUAUAUGGAAUAACACCAGUGGCUAACGCGGCUACCUGGGCUGCACUGACGCUGAGACUCGAAAGCAUGGGUAACGAACAAGACUAGAUACCCUGGUAGUCCAUGCCGUAAACGAUGAGUGCUAGUGUUGCACCGUUUCCUCCCUUCACUGCCGCAUCUAACGCAUUAACCGCUCCGCCUGGCGAGUACGACCACGUAGGUGGCAAGCGUUAUCCGGAUUUAUUGGGCGUAAAGAGAGUGCAGGCGGUUUUCUAAGUCUGAUGUGAAAGCUUCGGCUUAACCGGAGAAGUGCAUCGGAAACUGGAUAACUUGAGUGCAGAAGAGGGUAGUGGAACUCCAUGUGUAGCGGUGGAAUGCGUAGAUAUAUGGAAGAACACCAGUGGCGAAGGCGGCUACCUGGUCUGCAACUGACGCUGAGACUCGAAAGCAUGGGUAGCGAACAGGAUUAGAUACCCUGGUAGUCCAUGCCGUAAACGAUGAGUGCUAGGUGUUGGAGGGUUUCCGCCCUUCAGUGCCGGAGCUAACGCAUUAAGCACUCCGCCUGGGGAGUACGACCGCAAGGUUGAAACUCAAAGGAAUUGACGGGGGCCCGCACAAGCGGUGGAGCAUGUGGUUUAAUUCGAAGCUACGCGAAGAACCUUACCAGGUCUUGACAUCUUGCGCCAACCCUAGAGAUAGGGCGUUUCCUUCGGGAACGCAAUGACAGGUGGUGCAUGGUCGUCGUCAGCUCGUGUCGUGAGAUGUUGGGUUAAGUCCCGCAACGAGCGCAACCCUUGUUACUAGUUGCCAGCAUUAAGUUGGGCACUCUAGUGAGACUGCCGGUGACAAACCGGAGGAAGGUGGGGACGACGUCAGAUCAUCAUGCCCCUUAUGACCUGGGCUACACACGUGCUACAAUGGACGGUACAACGAGUCGCGAACUCGCGAGGGCAAGCAAAUCUCUUAAAACCGUUCUCAGUUCGGACUGCAGGCUGCAACUCGCCUGCACGAAGUCGGAAUCGCUAGUAAUCGCGGAUCAGCAUGCCGCGGUGAAUACGUUCCCGGGCCUUGUACACACCGCCCGUCACACCAUGAGAGUUUGUAACACCCAAAGUCGGUGGGGUAACCUUUUAGGAGCCAGCCGCCUAAGGUGG